UUUAAUUUAACAAGAAGCCAUCCUAGGGGACUAAGCAAAGUGAAAGGAACUACCUCUGUGCAAAAUGUAGCCUCUAGCUCAGGUCUAAGGAAGAGAAAUCCAGAGACUAGGUGUUUAAAGGCAGAGUUGGUUGAUCCUAGACCUCUAGGGGUACUAAGGGCAUGCUAUGGCCACUUACUGGGUAAGAGAUCUGCGUUGUCUGGUACGCCCAUGUAAUUGGAACAAACCUCAUAUCAACAUUUCAAAUAAAUGAUUACAUAACCCUUAUUCCUUUAUAUUAACCUUCAUCUCUCAUGACAGCGUUACAUUUUUUAAUUAUAUAAAAGUAAUCCUUGGAUGGCUGUAUGAGUAAAAACUACAGAAGAUCAUGUAAUAAAAUCUGCUUCAUUAGUUCCUCACAUCUUUAAAUAGUGUCAACACUGUAACUGUUAAUUAAGUCACUCACUCCAGCGGGGUCUACUUUGGCAAACAACAGUCCUUUGCUUUUAAAUGACGGUGAUGGAACCAGGCAACUUAAGUGCUCUUGAACGGACAUUGAGAAUAACUUCUUGUUGAGUUAAGCAAUCCAGUUUAUCAAAAUAGUAAAACUGGCUUAUGUGGGCAGACAGCUACAGCAUUCAGAAGUUACUCUUUACGGUUUCACCGUUUGUUGAAAGGACCUUUCUCCAACGAAAUCAUCCUCUGAUAGCAAUGUCUUUCCUUGUGGAUAAUUUAAGACAAAAUGCUGCAUGUAGUGAUGGUAUAUUAUGGGACAAUUAGGAAGUAUCUCAGCAGAUAAUCUUAAUUAAGGGCUGUAACUCCUAUUUGCCAUAAAUACAUAUAAAUAAGAGGAAAUAGUGCUAAGACUUGGGGAGUCUUAACUUUCCAUGAACCUUUCUUUUUGGUGGAUGUAAGAUAUUCACAGAGAGAUGGAAGAAAAUGUUACCAAUGAAUUUAUUGUAGUUUAGGGAAUUCGCUGAUUCUUCCUAGUUUGAAAAUCAUAAAGAGUUAAAAAGAGAACCAAGAACAGUAGAAGAUCUUUAGCUUUUCGAGAGUCUUGGGUUAUAUUUUAAGUAUUUAAAUCUCCCAACAAAUGGCUCGAUCUGUAUUUAUGCAGGGGCCUUUCUUGGCCUAUUUGCACACUACUUCAUACACUUCACUGAAACCAGGAUGAAUUCCAUACACACAGAGCGCGGGGGGAAAUCGGUGAGAAUUCUGCUCGCACGGGGUGGGGGUGUCACGGGUGCGGGGGAAAUUGAUAUGAAUUCCAUUCACAAGGGAGUGUCACGGAUUCUGGGAAAUCGGUGUGAAUUCCGUUUGCAUGGGGGGUGUCACACAUGCGGGGUCAUUAACGCUAUAUUGUUGCAUUCUAUUUUUCAUAUGCCUUACAAUAUUUUCUGGAACGUUAUUAAAAUGAAAGCAUUUUAUUGCCAAAAUAAAUCUAUGUUGUUACUUCUGCAUUAGCAGUAGAAAAAUAAUGUAGCAAAAAAUAUAUAUUGUACAGUACAAAAUUAUAAUAUAUAUAUAUUUUGCCAAUAAAUGAAAAUAGAUUGAGGUGAAAGAAGCACAUUUGUUAUAGCACAAACUUACAACAGAACCCACUGUUAAAUCUGGCAGACCUGUUUUUAGAUGUACGUAGAUUUGGUUUUCUUUCUUAUCAGAUUUAUUUCAUCUCUCAUAUUUGUAAUUGUGCUGCUUGAUACUUUCCAGCAAUUUAUUUCAUAGCCUUGCAAUCUGUGAGUGUAAUUUACUUAUUUUGUCCCCUUACAUAAAGCAUAUGAACUUCAUUUUGUGUUACGACUCAUACUCUAUUACUGUGUUUUCUGUUCCCGUUUCUUCUCCCUUGGUAACAGAUGGCACAGCAGGUGAGCUCACAGGGCUCCUCUAGGCUUUGGAUGUUUGAAAGUUUAUGUUUUUUUUCCCAGCCUCAAGUUAGAGAUCAGCAAAAUGUCCCCAUGGAAAAAUAUGAAGUAGGGAUUCCAUUGCUUUGUACCUGAUACUAUUUGAAGCAUAAAUAAAGCCAUUAGCUGUAUUUUUAGGAGGUGGGUGGGAUUUAAAAUCUGAUGCUAUUAAUAGGAAACGUACUAAAAAUAACUAUGGCAAGAUGGUAGUAAAAGAUCCCCCCUAUUCUGAGGGCUGUUGAUAUCCCAGGCUAUUCCUAUGUCUCUGCUGAUGUGGUGGGGGGAAAUGCCUUUGUCAGAUAACUUCCUUUUUCCUUUGGGUGUUUAUUUUAAUAAUCUGUCCCUUUCGUUUUUUGUUACAUAGAUAUGCGUAGCGUUCUACAAGGCAUGCUGGGGCAAAUACACUAUGCAAAUGUACACCGUGCUGCAUGCUUGGUUCUCCCUCUGCUUUAGCGGCUUAAAAAAAAAAAGAGAAAAACAAAACCGUGGUGUUAUUUUUGUGAACAAAGACAUUUAAAUUUAACGACAAAAAAAAAAGUGCAGAGUGCAUGCAUACAGUAUCCUCAUUUCUAUGGGUUGUUUUAUGGAAUUUAAAUGUGUACAAAGACUGCAUUAAUUUUUUCUUUUAUAUAAUAAAUGAAAAAAAAACCACUGAAACUAGCAUUCUACCUUUCAUUUAUAUUCUGGAAAUAUCUAUAUUCUGGAAAUAUACGGAGAUUUCAAAAUGCUGGAAAUCAUAAGCAAUAUUCUUGCAGCUUUUAAUGGAAAUAAAUUUAUAU
rnacentral:lncRNA from 1 species